rnacentral:rRNA from 1 species
UGAAUACGAAAUGCUACGGCAUUGAAGUGAUCUAUGCCAUGCUUCCAAGAAAAUCUCGUCAUAUCUUAAACAAUAGAUGCCUGUACCUUAAACCGACACAGGUAGGUAGGUAGAGUAUACCAAGGGGCGCGAGAUAACUCUCUCUAAGGAACUCGGCAAAAUAACCUCGUAACUUCGGAAGAAGAGGUACCCUUGAAAAAGGGUUGCAAUAACCAGACCCUGGCGACUGUUUACCAAAAACACAGGUCUCCGCUAAUUCGUAAGAUCAAGUAUGGAGGCUGACGCCUGCCCAGUGCCGGAAUGUUAAAGAAGUUGGUCAAUCUUUGGAUGAAGCUGGCGACUGAAGCCCCGGUGAACGGCGGCCGUAACUAUAACGGUCCUAAGGUAGCGAAGUUCCUUGUCGGGUAAGUUCCGACCCGCACGAAAGGCGUAACGAUCAGGGUGCUGUCUCGGAGAGAGACUCGGCGAAAUAGACAUGUCUGUGAAGAUGCGGACUACCUGCACCUGGACAGAAAGACCCUAUGAAGCUUUACUGUAUCUUGGAAUUGGGUUUGGGCCUUGCUUGCGCAGGAUAGGUGGGAGGCUAUGAAAAUAUUCUUGCGGGAAUGUUGGAGCCAACGGUGAGAUACCACUCUAGUAAGGCUAAAAUUCUAACUCUGAACCGUUAUCCGGUCAGAGAACAGUUUCAGGUGGGCAGUUUGACUGGGGCGGUCGCCUCCUAAAAGGUAGCGGAGGCGCGCAAAGGUUCCCUCAGGCUGGUUGGACAUCAGUCGUAGAGUGUAAAGGCAUAAGGGAGCUUGACUGCGAGACCCACAAGUCGAGCAGAGACGAAAGUCGGCCUUAGUGAUCCGACGGUUCCACGUGGAAGGGCCGUCGCUCAACGGAUAAAAGUUACUCUAGGAUUACAGGCUGAUCUCCCCCAAGAGUUCACAUCGACGGGGAGGUUUGGCACCUCGAUGUCGGCUCAUCGCAUCCUGGGGCGGUAGUACGUCCCAAGGGUUGGGCUGUUCGCCCAUGAAAGCGGUACGCGAGCUGGGUUCAGAACGUCGUGAUACAGUUCGGUCCAUAUCCGGUGCAGGCGUUAGAGCAUUGAAAGGAGUCCCCCUUAGUACGAGAGGACCGGGGGGAAUACACCGCUGGUGUACCAGUUAUCGUGCCAACGGUAAACGCUGGGUAGCCAUGUGUAGCGUGGAUAACUGCUGAAAGCAUCUAAGUAGGAAGCCCACCUUAAGAUGAGUGCUCUCACCGCUAUAAGCGGGUAAGGUCACGGUAAGAACAACCGUUAUAUAGGCAUUAAGUAUACGUGCAGUAAUGCAUUUAGCUAAGAUGUACUAACAGACCGAGGGCUUGAC